rfam:Synechococcus sp. WH 5701 scf_1099465003792 genomic scaffold, whole genome shotgun sequence.
ACAACGGAGAGUUUGAUCCUGGCUCAGGAUGAACGCUGGCGGCGUGCUUAACACAUGCAAGUCGAACGAGCCUUCGGGCUAGUGGCGGACGGGUGAGUAACGCGUGGGAAUCUGCCCUCAGGAGGGGGAUAACGGCCGGAAACGGCCGCUAAUACCCCAUAUGCCGAGAGGUGAAACGAAUUUCGCCUGGGGAUGAGCCCGCGUCUGAUUAGCUAGUUGGUGAGGUAAUGGCUCACCAAGGCAUCGAUCAGUAGCUGGUCUGAGAGGAUGAUCAGCCACACUGGGACUGAGACACGGCCCAGACUCCUACGGGAGGCAGCAGUGGGGAAUUUUCCGCAAUGGGCGCAAGCCUGACGGAGCAACGCCGCGUGAGGGACGAAGGCCUCUGGGCUGUAAACCUCUUUUCUCAAGGAAGAAGACAUGACGGUACUUGAGGAAUAAGCCACGGCUAAUUCCGUGCCAGCAGCCGCGGUAAUACGGGAGUGGCAAGCGUUAUCCGGAAUUAUUGGGCGUAAAGCGUCCGCAGGCGGCCUUGAAAGUCUGUUGUUAAAGCGUGGAGCUCAACUCCAUUUCAGCAAUGGAAACUACAAGGCUAGAGUGUGGUAGGGGCAGAGGGAAUUCCCGGUGUAGCGGUGAAAUGCGUAGAUAUCGGGAAGAACACCAGUGGCGAAGGCGCUCUGCUGGGCCAUAACUGACGCUCAUGGACGAAAGCCAGGGGAGCGAAAGGGAUUAGAUACCCCUGUAGUCCUGGCCGUAAACGAUGAACACUAGGUGUCGGGAGAAUUAACCCUUCCGGUGUCGUAGCCAACGCGUUAAGUGUUCCGCCUGGGGAGUACGCACGCAAGUGUGAAACUCAAAGGAAUUGACGGGGGCCCGCACAAGCGGUGGAGUAUGUGGUUUAAUUCGAUGCAACGCGAAGAACCUUACCAGGGUUUGACAUCCUGCGAAUCCCUUGGAAACUUGGGAGUGCCUUCGGGAACGCAGUGACAGGUGGUGCAUGGCUGUCGUCAGCUCGUGUCGUGAGAUGUUGGGUUAAGUCCCGCAACGAGCGCAACCCACGUCUUUAGUUGCCAGCAUUCAGUUGGGCACUCUAGAGAGACCGCCGGUGAUAAACCGGAGGAAGGUGUGGAUGACGUCAAGUCAUCAUGCCCCUUACAUCCUGGGCUACACACGUACUACAAUGCUACGGACAAAGGGCAGCAAACUCGCGAGAGCUAGCAAAUCCCAUAAACCGUGGCUCAGUUCAGAUCGUAGGCUGCAACUCGCCUACGUGAAGGAGGAAUCGCUAGUAAUCGCAGGUCAGCAUACUGCGGUGAAUACGUUCCCGGGCCUUGUACACACCGCCCGUCACACCAUGGAAGUUGGCCAUGCCCGAAGUCGUUACUCCAACCCGCAAGGGAGGAGGACGCCGAAGGUGGGGCUGAUGACUGGGGUGAAGUCGUAACAAGGUAGCCGUACCGGAAGGUGCGGCUGGAUCACCUCCUAA